CCUACGGGAGGCUGCAGUGGGGAAUAUUGGACAAUGGGGGGAACCCUGAUCCAGCCAUGCCGCGUGUGUGAAGAAGGCCCUCGGGUUGUAAAGCACUUUCAGUGAGGAAGAACGCCUGGUGGUUAAUACCCAUCAGGAAAGACAUCACUCACAGAAGAAGCACCGGCUAACUCCGUGCCAGCAGCCGCGGUAAUACGGAGGGUGCGAGCGUUAAUCGGAAUUACUGGGCGUAAAGCGCGCGUAGGUGGCUUGAUAAGCCGGUUGUGAAAGCCCCGGGCUCAACCUGGGAACGGCAUCCGGAACUGUCAAGCUAGAGUGCAGGAGAGGAAGGUAGAAUUCCCGGUGUAGCGGUGAAAUGCGUAGAGAUCGGGAGGAAUACCAGUGGCGAAGGCGGCCUUCUGGACUGACACUGACACUGAGGUGCGAAAGCGUGGGGAGCAAACAGGAUUAGAUACCCCGGUAGUC
rnacentral:rRNA from 1 species